rnacentral:rRNA from 1 species
GAGUUUGAUCAUGGCUCAGGAUAAACGCUGGCGGCGUGCCUAAUACAUGCAAGUCGAACGGACGGAAGGAGAGCUUGCUUUCCUAAAGUCAGUGGCGAACGGGUGAGUAAUACAUAAGCAACCUGCCUAUAAGGAUUGGGAUAACGUUUGGAAACGAACGCUAAGACCGGAUAGGUAGUGACGGGGCAUCCUGUUACUAUUAAAGGUUAGAGACACAAAUAGAUGGGCUUAUGGCGUAUUAGCUAGUUGGUGAGGUAACGGCCCACCAAGGCGAUGAUACGUAGCCGACCUGAGAGGGUGAUCGGCCACAUUGGGACUGAGACACGGCCCAAACUCCUACGGGAGGCAGCAGUAGGGAAUUUUCGGCAAUGGGCGAAAGCCUGACCGAGUAACGCCGCGUGAGUGAAGACGGCCUUCGGGUUGUAAAGCUCUGUUGUAAAGGAAGAACGACUGGAAUAGAAUUUCAGAGUGACGGUACUUUAUUAGAAAGCCACGGCUAACUACGUGCCAGCAGCCGCGGUCC